UAUGUGAUCGUCUCUCGCAUAUCAAUAAGCGGAGGAAAAGAAACUAACAAGGAUUCCCCUAGUAACGGCGAGUGAAGCGGGAAGAGCUCAAAUUUGAAAUCUUAAAGGGUUUCCCUUUACGAAUUGUAGUUUAAAGAAGUGUUUUCUGUUGAGGUUUUGGUAAAAGUUCUUUGGAAUAGGACAUCAUAGAGGGUGAGAAUCCCGUAUUUGACCUUUAUUUUCAACUUUGUGAUACACUUUCAAAGAGUCGGAUUGUUUGGGAAUGCAGUCCAAAAUGGGUGGUAAAUUUCAUCUAAAGCUAAAUAUUGGCGAGAGACCGAUAGCGAACAAGUACCGUGAGGGAAAGAUGAAAAGAACUUUGAAAAGAGAGUUAAACAGUACGUGAAAUUGUCAAAAGGGAAGCGUUUGACACCAGUGUUGUUUUUCUGAAAAUCAAUUAAAGAACUGUUUAUGCUAAGUUGUUUAGACUUUAUCAGCUAACUGUUUAGUUUUGAGCUUUUCUUUAAUGCACUUUUCAGUUAACAAGUCAACAGUCAAUUUCUUUUGCUGUAAAAAAGCUUGAGGAAGGUGGCUUGAGAUUCGUCUUAAGUGUUUAUAGCCUCUUGCCUAUGCAGUCGGAGAGAUUGAGGUCUGCAGCGUAGAUCCUUCGGGGCUAAAUGCAUUUGUGCUAAGUUAUAGCAUUUUAUAGACAACUUGUUGACUAUGAUUUGUCUUGUAGCUUACUCGCUUAUGUUAUUUUACCUACGCUUAGGAUGUUGAAGACUCUACAGAGAU
rnacentral:rRNA from 1 species